rnacentral:lncRNA from 1 species
GCUGAGUAUAUUAGGAAUAACUACAGAGAAGAAUUCAGGCUUUUACUGAGGCCGUGGGGGAUGAGUUCUACUCUUCCCUCUUGACUUGGCCCUAGUAGUCACCACAGCUUGACCCUUUCAUUUCAACACCUCACUGCGCAUUGCCUGAUAAACCAAGAAGCAGGAGCCUCUGCUCAUACUGUGGUACUUUAUUCACAUGCCAGCCUUGCAGAAAAGGCUCCCAUUGUGUUACCCCAUCACUCAACCUACCAUUCAACUUUUUCAUGAAGUUCUGAAAUUGGUUGAAUAGAAACAAACAAUGUACGCAAUGUUAAUAAGAGUAUAAAAUGUUAAUCAAGAGUCAACUUGAUAUUCACGAGAAACAUUUUUUUAUUUGUUUAAUAUCUGGCUAUCUCUGAGUCCUAUAAACAAAGAUUUUAAUUGAAUGUUCCAUCAAUACCUCUCUAUGAGAAGUUUAAAAUUUUAAAAAAUAAAUUUGAUUUAUUAUAA